rnacentral:tRNA from 1 species
GACUCGAUGGCGUAGUUGGUUAUCGCAUCUGUUUUACACACAGAAGGUCCCCAGUUCGAGCCUGGGUCGAGUCA